rnacentral:rRNA from 1 species
UCAUGACUGGGGUGAAGUCGUAACAAGGUAGCCGUAGGGGAACCUGCGGCUGGAUCACCUCCUUAAUCGACGACA